UGGCUUCACUUGUAGGAUCAAAAAGAAGGUGAAGCUCUCUUGUGUCAGCAGAAAGCUGAUUUGGGGGAUGGAAGAUAAUUCAGUGAAAUUUCUAGCAAUGACAAGAAGACUUCAAAGAGGCCUGCAGCUGUCUGGCGUGUUGAGCUCUUCCCAGACUCAGUGAUCGCUUGUUUACUGUGCUGGAGUUGAAAUUCUUGGCCAGCUGGCAGCUGAGAAGGGAAGAACCACAGCCUCUUGGUGCAUUAAAUCGUCAUAUUAGGCUCUAGCUUGGAAAAACUUUUGCUGGCUUUGUUUUCUUUUUCCCUAACAAUGACAUGACAAAUAUACCGGGUUUCCAUUUGUUCGGUUUUUUUGGUCUUCUUUAUUUAAUUCUG
rnacentral:lncRNA from 12 species